GACGAACGCUGGCGGCGUGCUUAACACAUGCAAGUCGAACGGAAAGGCCCUGCUUUUGUGGGGUGCUCGAGUGGCGAACGGGUGAGUAACACGUGAGUAACCUGCCCUUGACUUUGGGAUAACUUCAGGAAACUGGGGCUAAUACCGGAUAGGAGCUCCUGCUGCAUGGUGGGGGUUGGAAAGUUUCGGCGGUUGGGGAUGGACUCGCGGCUUAUCAGCUUGUUGGUGGGGUAGUGGCUUACCAAGGCUUUGACGGGUAGCCGGCCUGAGAGGGUGACCGGCCACAAUGGGCCUGAGAUACGGACCAGACGCCUACGGGAGGCAGCAGUGGGGAGUAUUGCACAAUGGGCGGAAGCCUGAUGCAGCAACGCCGCGUGCGGGAUGACGGCCUUCGGGUUGUAAACCGCUUUCGCCUGUGACGAAGCGUGAGUGACGGUAAUGGGUAAAGAAGCACCGGCUAACUACGUG
rnacentral:rRNA from 1 species